UCAAGUAUUCUUGUAUAAAUCAUGUACUCUUGUAUAAAUCAAUGUUCUUGUAUAAAUCAAGUAUUCUUGUAUAAAUCAAGUAUUCUCGUAUAAAUCAAGUAUUUUUGUAUAAAUCAUGUACUCUUGUAUAAAUCAAGUAUUCUCGUAUAAAUCAAGUAUUCUCGUAUAAAUCAAGUAUUCUUGUGGUAUGAAUCUUGUAUAAAUAAAGUAUUCUUGUAUGUAUCAGGGUUGUUAAUGGGUUGCAAGGCCAUUAACAUGUGACACGAC
rnacentral:lncRNA from 1 species